rnacentral:rRNA from 1 species
GAUGAACGCUGGCGGCGUGCUUAACACAUGCAAGUCGAACGAUGAAGCCCAGCUUGCUGGGUGGAUUAGUGGCGAACGGGUGAGUAACACGUGAGUAACCUGCCCUUAACUCUGUGAUAAGCCUGGGAAACUGGGUCUAAUACCGGAUAGGAGCGCCUACCGCAUGGUGGGUGUUGGAAAGAUUUAUCGGUUUUGGAUGGACUCGCGGCCUAUCAGCUUGUUGGUGAGGUAAUGGCUCACCAAGGCGACGACGGGUAGCCGGCCUGAGAGGGUGACCGGCCACACUGGGACUGAGACACGGCCCAGACUCCUACGGGAGGCAGCAGUGGGGAAUAUUGCACAAUGGGCGAAAGCCUGAUGCAGCGACGCCGCGUGAGGGAUGACGGCCUUCGGGUUGUAAACCGCUUUCAGUAGGGAAGAAGCGAAAGUGACGGUACCUGCAGAAGAAGCACCGGCUAACUACGUG